rnacentral:rRNA from 1 species
GAUGAACGCUGGCGGCGUGCCUAAUACAUGCAAGUCGAGCGAACAGACGAGGAGCUUGCUCCUCUGACGUUAGCGGCGGACGGAUGAGUAACACGUGGAUAACCUACCUAUAAGACUGGGAUAACUUCGGGAAACCGGAGCUAAUACCGGAUAAUAUAUUGAACCGCAUGGUUCAAUAGUGAAAGACGGUUUUGCUGUCACUUAUAGAUGGAUCCGCGCCGCAUUAGCUAGUUGGUAAGGUAACGGCUUACCAAGGCAACGAUGCGUAGCCGACCUGAGAGGGUGAUCGGCCACACUGGAACUGAGACACGGUCCAGACUCCUACGGGAGGCAGCAGUAGGGAAUCUUCCGCAAAGGGCGAAAGCUUGACGGAGCAACGCCGCGUGAGUGAUGAAGGUCUUCGGAUCGUAAAACUCUGUUAUUAGGGAAGAACAAAUGUGUAAGUAACUAUGCACGUCUUGACGGUACCUAAUCAGAAAGCCACGGCUAACUACGUG